UCUGGUUGAUCCUGCCAGGUGGCGUGAUCAAUCCCGACGCACUGAGGAUUGAGCCGAAAGCAGUCGCCUUCGUGAAGGCAUCUUUCGACGCGGGCAAACCAGUGGCAUCAAUCUGUCACGGACCCUGGACGAUCAUUGAGACGGGCGCGGCGCGCGGGCGACGCAUGACCUCAUGGCCAUCGCUUAAAAGGGAUCUUACAAAUGCCGGAGCGGACUGGGUGGACAAAGAGGUCACCGUGGAUCGGAACCUGGUCACAAGUCGUAAGCCGGAAGACAUUCCGGCGUUCAACGUAAAGAUGAUUGAACUAUUCAGCCAAGUAGGGGCGCCGGGUCGUCUUGCGCGACGUUAGCUUGCAGCGCCCGCAUCAUUACAAGCAAGCUUCCGUUGACACGGCGUACCAGGAGACCAUUGCAUGAAGACAGUCACAUUGCCAUCGGACAAACGCGUGUCGGCCCUCGGCUUGGGGACUUGGCAUUUGGGUGAGAAUCGGGCCACACGCGCCGAAGAGAUCGCAACGCUUCGCCUUGGCCUCGAUCUCGGCUCUACCCUCAUCGACACAGCAGAGAUGUAUGGCGAAGCCGGUCGGAAGAGCUUGUCGCCGAGGCGAUCGAGGGCAGACGCGACGAAAGUCUUUCUCGUCAGUAAAGUCUCUUCAAAUAACGCUUNCCGCAAGGGUUUCCGUCGNCGCUUUGCGAGCGCA
rnacentral:rRNA from 1 species